rnacentral:rRNA from 1 species
UGGGGAAUAUUGCACAAUGGGCGGAAGCCUGAUGCAGCGACGCCGCGUGAGGGAUGACGGCCUUCGGGUUGUAAACCUCUUUCAGCAGGGACGAAGCGCAAGUGACGGUACCUGCAGAAGAAGCGCCGGCCAACUACGUGCCAGCAGCCGCGGUAAGACGUAGGGCGCGAGCGUUGUCCGGAUUUAUUGGGCGUAAAGAGCUCGUAGGCGGCUUGUCGCGUCGACUGUGAAAUCUCAGGGCUCAACUCUGACAUUGCAGUCGAUACGGGCAGGCUAGAGUUCGGUAGGGGAGACUGGAAUUCCUGGUGUAGCGGUGAAAUGCGCAGAUAUCAGGAGGAACACCGGUGGCGAAGGCGGGUCUCUGGGCCGAUACUGACGCUGAGGAGCGAAAGCGUGGGGAGCGAACA